ACGCAUUCGGAGGGCUCUCUGGCUUUCCGAUCUUGGGUCGCUGUACUUGGCUCUGAAUACAGUCACCCCAUCAGAGUAGCAAAACACUGUGGUUGUAGUGUGAGAAUCCAAUGUUAAUGUUGGCCGAAAGCUCUUGAUUUUCUUCCCUGAGAACAUAGGCGUGAGGAUUUGGAUGUGUUUCCAAAUGCUUGUUACUCUUUGCCGUAAACCUGGAAUUUGGACCUAUGGCUGCCUGGGACUCAUACUGUCGUGGAGAAAGAUUGAAAAGUAGUUAAUGGCAGUGGUGGUAUGAAGGUAACCUGGGCUUUCACCCUUUCCUUUAUUUUUUCUUCUGUAGAACUUUCAGCACGGUUUUGUCAAGGGAGAAGAUUAGAGUUUCUAUUUUAAAGGCAGAUGUACUGUCAUGACUCUCUGAAGACUUGCUGUUAAUCGCUAAAACUAGUAAGUUAGCACUUAGAUACAGACAUAGUUAGAAGGAGCACAGGAUUAAAAACUGAAAAAAACAUCUUUUCCCAGUAAUCCUAGCUAUUAUUUCAUGGUGGUCCUUUUCCUUCUCUGGGCCUAUUUCUCUCUCUCGCUCAUUUAUUUAUUUACUUUUAGACAGAGUCUUGCUCCGUCGCCCAGGCUGGAGUGCGGUGGCGCGAUCUCAAUUCACUACAACCUCCGCCUCCCGGGUUCAAGCGAUUCUGAUAUCUCAGCCUCCCAAGUAGUAGCUGGGGUUACAGGUGCGCGCACGCCCGGCUAAUUUUUGUGUUUUUAGUAGAGACGGGGUUUUGCCAUGUUGGCCAGGCUGGUCUCGAACUCCCGGCCUCAUGUGAUCCGCCCGCCUUGGCCUCCCAAAGUGCUGGGAUUACAAGCGUGAGCCACCACGCCCGGCUGCUGGGCCUAUUUCUCUAUCUGUAAUAAUGAUUAAACGUCAAUAGCACUUACUACGUUCGAGGUUCUGGUCUGCGUGCUUUUACAUAGGCCGUAACUCAUUUGGUACUCUCGACAAUCUUACGAAACACAGUACUGUUAUUAAGUUUAUACAAAUGAGAAAUUUGAGGGACACGAGACUAAUUUGUUCAAGGCUUUACAGCCAGUUGAAUGGCUGAGACUGGGUUUUUAUCCAGGUGGGAUGGCUCCAGAAGCAUGUGCUUUUAAGCAUUAUGCUUUAUUCCCUAAAAAGAGGGGGCGAAUUUAAAGGAACCUUCUUUUAUGAUUUCAAAAUUUGUUUGUAACUAACCAAAA
rnacentral:lncRNA from 1 species